GUUUACUUAAUUGACCGAUCACCAAGAUUCUAUAAUAGGUUCUUUGAUGUUACUUCUCGUACAAAUAUUAUAAGUAAAACGAUUGUCUGAAGACAAACCGUUUGUUAAUUAGAUAUAUAAUAAGCUAUGUGGCGUGGACGGUGAAAAUACGUGCACGUGUACACACAAGUUCCGUUAUAAAUCAAUCGCAACGAAAGCGAACGCUUCCGACUGACCGAAUAGGGUUCUAUACCGUGGAUACAUGCGGUAAGUACCGUAGCCAAGCCUCGUCGCGGGGGGUCAGCGAUCGGGUCAUGGGGUGCCAGGUCAACUUCUCUUCGUCUGGCGGCGCGCGGCGGCGGCAGAGGCCCGUAAGCUCGACGAUGAAUGAAUCCCUGCACAUCAAUGGAACGAGUCGGCGCCUGCGCAGAAGUCGGAUAUGCGGCUUCACGCUCGUCCGCUUUCCGGUAUCUCCGCUUGCAGCAUCACAGGCGUUUUACUUCAACUCGGCUAAAUAAAUAUGCCUGAUCAAAUCAAUAUGCCAAUGAUUACAGUCAAGCGUAUGAUGUUAUUAUCGAAAUAAUUUCUGGAUACGUUUAGAGUAACAGCAGAAAUUUUUUCAAAAUGUUUAUACAGAGAAUAAAUUUUUAACAAAUUAGGUAUGCGCCUGUGGACCGGCAAUCAAGAAAUAAAUUACGGCUAGGCCGGUUUUGUUGCCUAUCCACUGGCGUUUCAAAAACUAGUUUUUAGGUACAAUAUUACAGUCUGAGGUCAUGGUAGAUCGAAACAAAAAAAAUCAAAAAUAAAUAUGACAUACUAAAUGCAUUUUUAUUAUUCUUGAUUAAAGUAUAAGUAUAAUAUUAUAAUUUGUAUAAGUAAUAAUCCAACAGCCUAGCUAUGACGACGGAUAAGGUUACUACAGACGUAAGAUUGUGUACCUUUUUUUAAGUGUCAACAUUUUGGCGCGAUUAAUAAUGCGAGGAAAAAUUUUUGUGUUGUAUUCAGAACUCAGUUGCAUGAAAAUUAAUUGUUUGCAAUGACAUUGAUUACGUCGUCUGUCGUGAUAUCUUUCCAUUCUACAUAAUGAUACGUAAUGAUUAAUAUAUACCUAUAUAUUUCUAUAAUAUUAGACAAGUGAUGAUCACAAAGAUUAAUACAUUAUUAUAGUAAUCGAUAACAAGUAAGUUUACAUCAGACUAUUAUUCAUAUCAAAUUCUUACUAAUCAUAUUAUUAUGUGUAUCUCGAAGUUGUUUUAAAAUAUUUGCAGAUAUAUAUUAAUUACAGAUUCGAGGUAUAGCUCUUUCUCAUACUCUAACCCAAGUCUUGAUCCGCAAAAAAUAACACUCGCACAGAGUACGACAAAUCAUUACAAUUAGUCCGUACGAGUUUCAUUUCGAGGGGUACAAGUAGGUCGAUGUAGAAGUAUUAAGUGUUCGCAAAGUAUUAUUCAAAACUUCUGCCAUGCAGCGUAUUCUUCAAAGUUCGCAUUGAUAAAAAUAAUAAUAAACGAG
rnacentral:lncRNA from 1 species